rnacentral:lncRNA from 1 species
AUAAAAUCAAACCAUUUUAUUGAUAUAUUAUAAUUUAGAGCUAGUGCUCCAAUUUUAUUUUAUUUUUUCCUUUUUAGUCACAGCCACCGGGGGCAAACCCAAUCCUUUCCUUCGCACCAUCAAAGACUAUAGUGUAAGUCUUUUGCUGAAAAUUCCCAAAGAUAGAAACUUCGUCAUCCAAUUCUGCAAAUGCCAAGCAGUACACCUUGCUCCCUGGUGGAUGUUGCACCAUGAUCCCCGAAACAUCGAUAUCCAUCUCUACGCCACCUUCGAAGAACACACUAAUCGAAGGUAUUGCAACCGUGCUAUAAUUACUGAAGUCAUAGCAUGUGUCUAGAAAGAUAUCUUGGGCCGACAAAGGAUAACCUUUCAACAUUUCUCGGAACACCGACCUCAGUGUCGAGUAUGCCUUCGGAGGCAGCCGAGUGAGCACUGUACCGGAGUCGAUGGCGCUAGCAAUCUUAAAAGCCGAUGCAUCUAUUAAUAGUUUACGGCCUCCAACACUAAUUCCAGUCAUUUUGAUGUCGUAGUCCGAGGAUGGCGCUGUUUUAGAUACUGGGGAGAAUCUCACAUCGUUCGACACUUUGCCGCCGAAAGUAAGAUGACCAGUUGAGCCAGGAGUUGACGGUAUACAAUAAGAGAAGAGUUUGUUGUAUAUAUUAGCAGUUUGUGAUGCAAAAGAUAUAGGCUCGCGGUUUAGUCCCAUUAUACCAGAUUCUCCAUCUGAAUCACCAGAUACUUGAUCGCUGCAUCCAAUCAAAACGUUCUUGAAGUCGUACUGUAAAUGGCUGAAGGAUAUUGUUUCGGUGGCCAAAGUUCCUGUGGAGCUGCUGUUGUCUACAUAUGCACUUUUGUAGGUGCACUUCGAAGAGGAGCAUCCUGUAUCCGCAACAUUGAAAAUACAUGUCUUGAAAUUUUAUUUUUUAAAAGGUUUAAUUUAUCUCAUUUUUGUGUCAAUAAUAUUGUUAAUUAGCCAAUCAAAACUUUUAAUGCAUGUCAAAAUAAUAAUAUUUACCUUGCCCGAUUGCUUGGCAUAGCUUUGAGGAACAUGGAAGGCCUUUGAAUGAAGCUGACUUGGUUGGAUCGAACACAGGCACUUUUGGAUAGCAAGCCUUGCAUGGCUUACAUUGAGUCCAAAUGAGACCACUGCCUGUGUCGAAUAUAAGUGGCAUUUCCUUCUUGGGCGUACCGAUUCCAACGUUUACAAUAUAGUCACUUGCAGUGAUUUUGGGUAGACCAUAGAACGGGACACUACUCUUCAUGUGCUCACCACUGCUGGUCAAGUUCACUGAACGCCGGGCCUGAAUAAUUGAGUCCACUCGAAGUUUGUCUCGACGGAGGAUAUCGUUGACGGAUGAUGCUGGAGCAGUUGAUGUUCUGUGUGGAUUGCAUGGACCGAACCUGUGUACUAACUUUAGGGAUGAUGAACCCUUGUUGACAGCUGAAACACAAAGCAAUUACCUUAAGAACACAUCAAGGGCAAUCCUCUCCCUCUACAUUGUGCUUCACAGUCCCAAAUAAAAUGCGAACAAUUUCUUCAAAAAUAGUAGUAAGAAGAAGGUCAUGUUGUUAAUUAAUUUUUGAAUCAAGAACUAUAAUACCUUUGGAAGAUUCCUUGCAGACUUCUGAUGGUGGGAGAGAAUUGAUUUUGAGAGUAUGAAAAUAUUCUCUCGUUCCUUCAUCGGCAGUGUCCUUCAAAGAGUUGCAAGGGGAAAGAAGAAGAAAACCAUAAAUCACAAAAGAAAGUAGUGAUUUAGAAGACAUGGGGGCGCCAAUGGGAGACAAAUAUUCUUCUCUUAAACAAUUAUUAUGCUUCUCUCGAAGUAGGUAGAGCUAUUUAUACAUGCACAACGAGUUAAUUUACAAUAUUCUAAAUGGCACAAUGUACUGUGGCAUAAUGGCACAAUUAUUAGUUACAAUGUACUGUGGCAUAAUGGCACAAUUAUUAUGCACAAUGUACUGUGGCCGGACAAUUAUUAUGCACAAUGUACUGUGGCCACAAAAAAUGUGCUAGAAUUAUAAUAGUAAUUUACAGUAUAUUUUUUUUAUUUUUUAUUUUUUAAAAUUAUUUUUAUUAAUUUUAUUUUUUAAAUAUUGAUCUGAUUAAAAAAAUAUUUAUAAAUUAUUUUUAAAAUAGUGUGAUUACUGCAGUGUUUUUCCACAUAGUUUUUAUAUUUUAUUUUUUAAAAUUAUAUUUGUUGAUUUUUUUUUAAUAUUGAACUGAUUGAGAAUUUAGUUUUGUAAUUUUUUUUCUUUAAAGUAUUAUUGAUUGUUAUAAUGUUUUUCUGUAUAUAUUUUUUUUAUGAUUUUAUUAAAAAUUAUCUUUUUUUAUUUUAUUUUUUAAUAUUUAACUGGUUAAAAAUAAUAACAAAAAAAAGCAUUAUAACUUUCCUUGAAUAUUACUGUGGAUUUUAUACGCGAGUAGCAUAUCCCAAGUGUGCCUGGCACUUGCUGGAAAUAGUGAUGCAACUGACGUGUUCAUUUUCGGAAAUGUUCAGCAAAAAACACUAUGUUCAUAUAAUUUCAUUUCAAAUUAGCUUGCUUAAAGAACAGUUGCACGUGUUGUAAUUUAAUCACUGGGAUUAAAUCGAAAGGGCUGAAAUGAAGGAUUAUAAUUUCAUUUAAAAUGAUAAAUAUGAAAAAUAUUUUUGACUAUGUUCAUAUAAUUUCAUUGAAAGGGCUGAAAUGAAGGACUAUAAUUUCAUCACUGUGAUAGAGUCCGUGUAAGUUAACCGUGAAUUAUAAUAGUAAUAUUUUUUUUAUUCUUUAUUUUUUUUUCUAUCUUGAUCGUCCUACUUUCUUUUUUCUUUUAAUUUCUAAAAAAAAAAAACUAGUACUUUAUAUACAAUCUUCCAUAGACGAAUUUCAUCAAGGUUAGGAGGCCCGCGGCUUGGAUUAAGCCGGCUAUUGAGCUGAUGAAAUGGAAUAGAUAUGGGUCCUCUUUUGGGAAGCCUGAAAGAUCAGGUAUUGGUGGAGUCUCGAGCGAUUCGUUAUAUGAAUUUGUUUUUAUUUUCUCGAACUUCAAAAGCAGUAUAGCAGUUUUAACAUUAUUUGUCUCUAGAGAGAUUAAAGUAGUAUAGCACUAAACUAGUUUUACUCAACCGUGAUAUAUUACUGGUCAAAUCAAUAUUUUUACAAAUUAACAAAAAUUACAGAUUAUAUUUUUACAGUUUUGUUUUUUUUAUUACUAUUAUUAUUGGCUCUAGUGUUCCUUUUCUUUUAAUAAAGACUCCAUUUUCAUCUUAAAAAUAUAAAAACUAAACUUUCCCACAAUAAUAAAAUAUAUAAUAAAAAAAAAUAUAGUUGAAAUCCAUUGAAACUCCCAAGAAAAAUAAAAAUAAAAAUCCAAAACUUAAACAAACAUGUUGUGCCCAGCACUAGUUUGCACAGGUACACAAGCAUAUAAUUAGUGUAAAGGAACACUUAACAUAGUUUUUUUUUUAUAUAUAUAUAUAAAAAAUAGCCACAUUUUUUUAAAGAAAGUAAUAAUUGUAAGAUUUUUUUUUUAUUAUUAUUAUGUUUUCUCACUCCUCUCCUCAUUUUAAUUUGUGAAGAGAAAAAAGAGAAAAAAAUGAUAAAAAAUACCCCAAAGAUACAUUGAAGUUUCGACACCAUUAAUACCAUAAAAUAAAUUUUGAUAAAAUAAAUAUAAUAAUAUUAUGAAUAGUCACUAAUAAUGACUCGAGUAGUUCAUACUUGUCAUCAAAGACAAGUGAAGCACCCAUCACCUUUUGACAGCAAAUGUAACAUGCUUAAAAUAUAGUUAGUGAUUUUUUUUAUAUCAUUAGAUUUGUUUUUAUUAAUAUAUAAAAAUGUUAUUAGAUUUAUUUCAUUAAUAUAUUUUUUAUUCUACCAAUUGUAUUUUUAUUGAAGCUUUGAUGUGUUUUUAAAGUUUUUUUUUUUUCUGUUCAAGUGUUCAAUUUUUUUUAAAAUGUCGUUAUUUGUAAUAACAACAAACUUAAAUUUAGUAUUUAUUAAUCCUAACAUAUACAUGUUAUUUCACAAAUUGCUUUUCAAACUAUGUUAUUUGUUAAUAUUUUUCUUUUUAAAAAGUGCUAAUUAACAAGAUAGGACGGAAUUUUUGGGUAUAUGUGUAGCACAUGGAAUUAAAAGGAAAAUGGUUCCGGGAAACAGAAAAGAAUGCAACGAAUAGAGCACCAGCUAUUCAUCUCUUUCUUUCGAUUUUUCCUUUGGGUGGAAGAAAAACCAGCUCAUAGCUCAUGAUGGGUACAACUAAAAAAGAUCCCACUUUGAGCUAAAUUGUAAAAAGCUUCUUGAGCUUGAUUGAAAAAACAAAUCUUUGAUGUUUCAUCUUAAAUAUCAUGGUCUUCUUAAUAUGUCUCUCUAUUAGAGUUUUAUCGAGAAAUUUAAGAGGAAAAAAACCCUUAAAAAUCAUUUCAAUUCUUUUUCUUUAGCUGUGAAUAUAUUUUCUUAAGUCGGUGGAGGAAAAAAAAGGGAAAUGGUAGGAUUUCUAUGGGGUUUUUUCUUCAAGUUCUCUGAUAAAGGAUCGUAUUCAAAAAAUCAUAUUGUUUAGGAUAAAGAUCAGAGAUGUUUUAGUUCGAGAGGGGAAUAUUUUUUUAAUUUAGCCUUAAUUUCACUUGAAGUUAAAAAAAUUAUGCAAUAUUUCACUUUUUGGCAAAUGAAAUGGAUAAAGGAAGGAAGUUUUGGGGAUAUGUGUAGCUCGUGGAAUUAAAAGGAAAAGAGGAAACAUGACUGGACAGGAUAUUUCUUUAGCAAGCUUUUGGUCAAUUAUAUGUUGCCGUAGUAGGGUUGUUAAUUCCGUUUUGCUUCAUUUAAAACGGUGAAAAUAUUUAAUAUUAAUUAAAAAAAUAGAAUACAAUACAAUAAUUUUUAUCUCAUUUUAUAUCUUGAUUAGUUUUAGAUUUUUCAAAUAAAUUUUAGUUGGAAUGUUCGGUUUCAUUUUAUAUGCUUCGUUUCGGGUUUGAAAAGCCAUUAAAUUAAAUUGAUAUUUUGUUUAAGUUGAAUUACUUUAAGUUAAAAUUCUAUUUAAUUUUAACUAUUUAGAAAUAUUUUAAAAUUUUAAAUUAUAUUUGUUUGAUAUUGUAUUUGUAUUGCAUAAUUUAUAAUUAAUUUAUUUUAAAUUUGAAUUAUAUUUGUUGAUUCCAAAACGACACCGAAAUGGUUCAAAAUCAAAAUAUUUCAUUUUAAUUAAAAAAAAUAUUUAACAUCUAUUAAAACAAAAUUGGUAACCUUGAGCCAUAUAGGCUUGUGAGUGGUGGUCAGGUAGCUUGCAGAUGAGUUGAAUUAAUUGUUAAUUUGACAUGUAAGAUUAAUUGGUUUUUGUGUUUAAGAUUUGUUUUUUAAAAGAUUGAUUUUUUUUUAUUUUAAAUUAAUUUUUUUUUAUGUUUUUACUUAGUUUUGAUAUAAAAAAUAAAUUUAGAAAAAAUAAAAAAAAUUAUUUCAAAUAAAAAAUAUUUUUAAAAAAAUCUUAACUAUAAUACCAAACAAGCUAUUAGUUGAAUUAAAAAAAUAUAUUACAUCUUCAACUCCAUUGAAUACAUUAAUGAAAACAUAGUGAUUGAGUUGAGGAAACAUAAUCAAUCACCCGAAAUAGAAUUGGUGGCAUUGCUAGGAGGUGAGAAGUGUAGCAUCUUCUUCACUUCACUUUUUAUGAUGGAUAAAAAGAGAACACACCCAUGUAGACAUUCUUUGAGAAAAAAAAAAUCAAUCUUGUUUUGAUUAAAAAAAAAUCAGUUAUUUAUAGGUUGACCGAUAAUUGAGUGAUUUAAGUUUUUGAUUAAGUUUUUUUUAUUGAUUCGUACUCCAGACUUGGUUCAACAUCUAUGUUUUCUACUAUUUAAUUUAAUUUAUUUACUUAACAAAUGUACAUAUUUACUAUUUUUGAAUACCAAUUUCUUUUGUUUUAGAGAAUAUUAAUUUUAAUAAAAUUAAAAGGUUUGUCAGUGAAUGUAUUAAGAGAAUAGCAAAAAGAAAAUAUAAAAACAAACCAUUUUAUUGAUAUAUUAUAAUUUAGAGCUAGUGCUCCAAUUUUUUUUUUUUUUCUUUCUUUUUAGUCACAGCCACCGGGGGCAAACCCAAUCCUUUCCUUCGCACCAUCAAAGACUAUAGUGUAAGUCUUUUGCUGAAAAUUCCCAAAGAUAGAAACUUCGUAAUCCAAUUCUGCAAAUGCCAAGCAGUACACCUUGCUCCCUGGUGGAUGUUGCAACAUGAUCCCCGAAACAUCGAUAUCCAUCUCUACGCCACCUUCGAAGAACACACUAAUCGAGGUAUUGCAACCGUGCUAUAAUUACUGAAGUCAUAGCAUGUGUCUAGAAAGAUAUCUUGGGCCGACAAAGGAUAACCUUUCAACAUUUCUCGGAACACCGACCUCAGUGUCGAG